CGCGUCGUGGUAUUUCGCGUAUUGUAAUUUCAACGCGAGCGGGGUCAAAUCCUUUGCAGACGACUUAGCUGUGCGAAACGGUCCUGUAAGCAGUAGAGUAGCCUUGUUGUUACGAUCUGCUGAGGGUAAGCCGUCCUUCGCCUCGAUUU
rnacentral:rRNA from 4 species